ACACAUGUAGACGAAAGCGUAGAUUGGUGCAGAACAGCAAAAAGAAAGCUUGUCCUGUUCGAAUAAAGAUUCGUCAUGUUGUGAAGUUUUCAAGCUAUUUGAUAUAUGCCUUGUUCAAAGGUGAGGCAUUUGGGAGAGAGUUCUACAGUUCUUACAAAAGCUUCAGAACAGAUAUCAGAAUGCAAUGCCUGGUUGCACAAGAGUGUAAAAGCUGAAACUGAACAGUCCAUGAAACUGGUUAACAUUUUGUGCGAAUGGCCAAGGAUGGAUCUUCCAUAAACAAGGGAACAGGAAACAUACAAGGCUACAAUAUAGCAACGAUGUUUGCAAAAGACAUCAAAACAAAGAUGAAGGAAAUAUUGGAAUUAGAAGAGGGUGAUAAGAGGU